CAUAAUAUUCCUUGUUUAAAAGAAGUUUUAGUUCAAAAAACAAAGUAAAAAUGAUAUUCUGGACUUCAAUGGACCAAGGAAUACCUGUAGAAAAGUGAACAAAAUUUUCUUACAAGUAAUUUUAGGAUAUUGAUGCAGUUGUAGGUUUAGUCAGCAUAAUAAUUUGUCCUAAAUUUUAACACUAGUGUGGAUAAUUUAAAAUUUCCAGAAGCAUCUGCAACCACCUAUUCUGCAUUAUAACAUAAGCAACCAAUUGGAAAUCUCCUCAUACUAUGCCUGAAGUCACUAAUCACUGUAGUAACUACUCCCACUUGUUGGGACCCAGAGGUCUGUGGGCCUGGGUUUUCCUUCUCUUAACUUUGCUUACCCUGAGUCUUGAGCUGGGAAAUUUAACUCUGGUUUCAACUGAUCUGCAAAGCUUCCACUCAGCAACAAAAUAUGACAGGAGAGUUACUUUGACCAUGAUCCCUUCUUGACAAAGAAAAGAAGUCUUGAAAUAUCUUUUCUGGAUGACCAAUGUCAAAAGAAGUGAACCAACCAAAAAAGCGAAAUUUGUCUUGUGAAAAUUGGGACAAUCGACAGCAACACUGACCUCCACCUAAGAGUGAAAUAAGUAUCUAAAAUUGGGAAAUUUAGUUAAGAUUAAUCAUAUAUGGUAAGGGUAGGCUUAUUAGUAUGCAUUGGGGGGAACAGCUAAAAUUCUACUACUGGGUGAUGUCAGUGCAUGCAUUGGAGAUGACUACACCACUUGGAACAAGAGUUGUGAGGAAAUUCAGACAUGAGUCUCUAAACACAAAUGGAGAAUUACUCCUGGAACUCUGCAUAGCUUUGACUUUGCUAUAAUGAACACCCUUUUCAACAUACCAGAAAAGUGGUUCUACUCUUGGCAGCAUCCUCGGUCAAAAUGAUGGCACCUUUUAAACUACAUCAUCAUCACUCAUUGCAGUGACCUGAAGGCUGCUUACAUUACCAGGGCUAUGUGAGGCACAGAAUACCCUAAUGGAUCACCAGUUUAUCCAUAUUAAAUUGGACAUCAGGAUACACACUCCAAAACCAAAGGUUGCUCCAAAACCGAACCAAUGUGUCAAUGUUUCAAAAUUUUGCAUGAAAGAGAGGAGAACGCAGUUAUCAACUUUUCAUCAUACUGAAAUAUUAAACUGUGGCAUUUGAAGAGUAAGUGGAACUCUCAGUUAAGGUGGGUGCCUUUCAAACUGCAGCGAAAUCAGCUCCUAAAGAAGUCCUUGAUGUCCUAACUCAAUGAAAUGUGGACUUGUUCUAUGCAAAUGACAACAAUAUUCAAGCCCUCCUUGUGGCCCAUCUAGCUAUGCACCAAGUUAAAUUGAGCAAACUUCCCUCUCUUUGGGCUGCAGAAGACUUCAAGAAAUCAAAACCUGAAGCACAGAAAAAGUUUCUGACAGCACCACCCUCCUGACUGAGCACAGUAUGAUAUUAGAAAGAUGGAAAGAACAUGUUGCAACCCUCAUCGAUCGUGAGUCCAGCACAAAUGAUCAAAUAGUAGAUUCAACUGAGCAAAGAUCAGUUCGAUAUGAACUCAAAGAUCCCCCAGCUCUGAAGAAGACUAAGAACAUGCUUAUGGAAAUGACAGAAAAGCAGCUGGAGCUAAGGAAAUCUUAACUGAAGUUCUUAAAUAUGGUGGCCCUACACUUCACAAAGCUUUGCUAGACCUAUUUACUUUCUUCUAGGAAAAUAAGACUUUACUCCAGGAUUUUAAAGAUUCCAAAAGUGUAACUAUCUACAAGUGCAAAGGAGACAGACGUGACUGCAGCAACCAUCGUGGCAUUUUGCUCCUUUCCAUUGCUGGUAAGACCCUUGGUACGCUGUUGCUAAGAAGGCUCCAGGUUUUUGAAAAUGAUGUAUUCCCUGAAUUCCAAUGCAGUUUCUGUUCAUCACACAACACUGCUGGCAUGAUAUUUACCCUAUGCCAAUUACAGCAGAAAGCUGCCAAAAACCAAAUGUCCCUGUAUCUUGCAUUUGUCAACUUCAGUAAGAUGUUCAAUUCUGUUGGACACUCUGCUCCCUGGUGCCUUCUUGAAAAUUUCAGCUGCCCAGGCCAACUAAUUAACCUCAUACACUGCUUCCAUGACAACAUGCAGGCCCAUGUAUCAGUGGAUGCCAACUCGUAUGAUCCCUUUCCUGUAGUUCAUGGGGCUAAACAGGGCUGCAUGCUUGGCCUCUAUAUUAUUUACUCUGUUCUUUGCUGGAGUGCUAGGAAUCACCACAAAUACUACCACUACUCAUGUCACCUUAACAACACAAUUUAAUCACAGAAUUCUAAACCUCUUCCAAUUCAAGGCAAAAAAGCAAAUCCCAACAAAGUGAAGUAAAGGAUCCAAUGUAUGCCAAUGACUCGGCAUUUCUUACCCUUUCUGAGAAAGUCCUGCAACAUUUUCUGAAUGCCUUUGCCCAUGCUACAUCAGUUUUUGGCUUCUGUAAUAAGAAAACCAAAGUUCUAUACCAGCCACCUCGUGGCAGAAACCUAUCACCUCCAUCACCAACAGAAAUAAAAGUAAAUGGCAGCCAAUUAAACAAGGUCAAGUCCUUUUUCUACCUAAGUAUCAGAAUUGCCGAUGACACCAGCAUUGACAAUGAACUUUCAGCAUGUUUAGAGUCAGCUGCCUCAGCUUUUGGUCACCUACAGCAAAGACUAUGGACAAGAUGGUGGGGUGAAGGGGGCAAAGUGUCUACAAAAUGCCAGAUUUACAGAGCUAUUUUGCUUCCUUGUCUUCUAUACUCAUUAGAGACCUGGUCCCUUUAUCAUCGCCAUAUCAAAAAACUUAACUGCUUGCAACAGUGCCACAUAUACAGUAUAAUGGGUAUUAAAUGGUCUGACAAAAUGACCAACAACAGAGUACUAUGACUGGCAGCUCUGCCAAGUGUGGAAGCCAUGCUAGUAUAGAGGCAAAUGACCUGGGUGGUCAUGUCACACAUAUGGGCAACAAUCGACUGCCUAAGAAAGUUCUGUACAGUGAAUUUGAAAAAGACAGUAGGAAGGUUGCCUGUUCCAAACUCAGCUACAAGAACUGCCUUGAUCAACAGUAAGAGCCUUACCUUCUUCUAAUUUUAUGGAUUUAAAUGAGAAAGACAUAGGAAUUUUCUACUAUUUGGCAGGGAUACUAUCAGAUUGAAGAUUUUUACUAUCAGGACCUUGUUGUGAUCAGAUAAUAGUGGAGUUUCGGUAGAUACCAAGAGAGGAAAUUUCAAAUUUGAGUAUUCUAGUUGAUACCUCCCUUUAUGAUUUUUAUGAACUAUUGUCUUUGGGAAAGAAACAACCACUCUUGUUCUCCAUACUUCUGGUAUCCAUGGAUAUCCAGUUUAUGCCAAACCAUUCAAAAUUCUUUAUUAACUGGAAGCAGUGAGGACAGUGGAAAAAAACAAGGAAAGACUCAGUCAGAAGAUACGUGUAAGGAUUGGAUCUGGAAUUUGCAAUAUAUACUUUUUAAUUCCAUUUCUACCUUGUGAGCACUUGAAUUGCAUCAUAAAGGUUUCCUUACCUACAAAAUUCUCCCACAUGGUAAAGUGAAGGUAUUAUAUUCACUGCAGAGGGAAGGGAAUUUUAAUUUCUAUGAAAUAGGAUAGUUCUUAUUGAUAAUUUUUCUAAUACAUCCAUACAAUACAACAUCCCACGUAAGAAUCAUAGACAAACAUAAUUACAGAUUUUAAUAUGCAGUCAUCUACAGGGUGACCUGCAGGAUGCAAAUGUGGAAGUAGUGGAUGUGGACUAUCACAUCCCUGAAGGGACAGAUCCUUCAGCAAGCUGCAAGGAUGCCUCAGAGAACUAAGUGAUGGCUAUAUUGAUUGUCAGAAGCCAUGAUUCUGGGGGCCAAGGGAGAAAGGGUUUCUACCUUUCAGGACAUCUUCCUUUUGCCUUAAAAUCAAUCUUUGGAAUUAACAUGUCUUAAUUAUCUGGGGUCCAUUGCACGCACAGAGAAAUAUCAUCUCGUAAUUUGUCACCUGAUGCAACAGAGUUCAAUUCUCCCACCAUUUCACCAGAGACAAUAAUCUUGGAAGGGCCAGGUAUUAAUGAUUUUUCUCCACCUCCUUCAAUUUACUGAAAUAUCCUACAUUUAUCUCCAAGGAAAUGAUAACCUGGCUGUAAUGAAACACAAGGCCACCAGUUUAGCAUCAGAGCACAAUGCCACACUGCCAUACUCAUAGUAUCCAUUAAGCUCAUACUGACUAGGAUGUAUAUACACUGCAGUCCCUUGGUCUUGGGGUAGAUGAGGGAAGCAUGGUUGCCAACCCAAGACAUCUUAAUGACAGUCUUUAAGCUUUUAACCAAGAGCAUUUUUUUACUGACACUUAUUCUUAAUUCUAUGUUUUACACAAUGUAAAUGUACCUCUUCUACCAAGCCCUGCUCUCCUGCUAGGACUCAGUAGAAGGGCUGCAUUCAGAUUCAGGCAUUCAACAUCAACCAUAGUAAAGAAAAGGAAAAAACAGUGUUUGUCGGUAAAAAGCUGACAGUAAAAAUUAAUUUUUUGGGUUGGCAGCCCAGCUUGACUGCAGUGAUCAUUUUACACUGUGCUUCCCACUCACACCCCAUGCCUUGAUGCCCCAAACUGCACCCUGCUGCUCCGCAGCAGUCUCCCAUUCUUACCUCUGCUUCUUUUGCUCCCUUCUAAUACAGCAUAUACCCCCGAAAGAAACCUGUGUGAGACCCAUUACUACUACUGGCAGCCGGGAUGCAAAAGCAACAGUUCAUGGCUGAAACCACUCCCUGCAGGGUGCUGCAGCACCGCCACUGGUACAUUGCAACAUGCUGCUUUUCUCUGUUUGCCCCAGCUGCAGCUUCUUAGUAUUUUUAUUGUUACUAAAGAAUUUUUAUGGACCUUACUGAAAGCCAUUUUUAGCCUGAUUGCUUACUGAAAGUUAGUAAAUUAACUGACAUUUGGCAGUCCUGGAGGGGGUGUUCCAGGUCUUCCUAGAGCACCAUAGCAUAGGUCCCUGCACUCUGGUUUGAGGCAGUCAUGCCUGCUAGUGUAAUACACAAAAAUGAUAAUGUACCAAUUGUGUUACACCUGGAGGGUGUAACGCAAUUGCUUUCGGCUCCCUUACAGGUUCCCCCACAGUCAUACUUUUGGCUCCUCCACGGGCUAUGGCCAAUCCUGCUCCACUUAUACCAUUAGACCUGCAGAACAGCACAUCAGCCUUCAGCCACCAAGUAUCCUGCCUGGCCAAACCAGGUGACUUGAUAUCCAAGGAAGUAAUGAUAGAUGCAGACAUGGAGCAGAAUGCCUGGCUCUCCUACCAGCUACUCAAGACCACAGACACAGGUCUCUCACCAUGAGGCUCCAGACAGGCUAAGUUAGGAUCCAAAGGCCAAUAACAGAUGAGGAAUAGAUGAAGCAGUGGCUUGUUGUGAUUAUUACAGAGAUAGGAGAGGAACACCAUUCUUCCUCCUCAACUAUUCAAUAUGCUUCCAGUGGAUGGGUAUAAUGGAGAGCCAAAGGCUGCUCUUACUUUAAGGGUGAAGGAACAGCAGGGAGAGCCUCAGGCAAAGAAAGCUUCCCAUUAUGAGCCGCCAGGGAAUAGGUACCUGCUACAAAUGCUUACUGCUGAGGAAGCUGCGCUCCAGUAGCAUACUGGGCUAGGGUCAUGGAAGUAUAUAAACACAGGCCCUGUUACAGGAGGGGCAGUAUGGCCCUGGAGGCUGCAGAAGCAUUGAGCACCAAAUCAGGGAGAUGCUGGAGAGCUCCUAGCUGGCACCUGUCCGGAGAAAGGCAAACAGACUGCUUCCUUGCAGAGGAAUAUGGUCUGAGGUAAAAGGAACCCUGGUUGUGCAGGAAGGUAGUCAUUGUUUAUGUUCAGGCAAAAUGGGGAUUUAGUUGGUGUUGCAGCCAGAAGGUUGGAGGUUGAGAAGACCAAGACCCUAACAAGGGUGAAAGUCUGAGGUGGCCUGAUAUCAGAUUGGAGCUAAGUGCCGACCCAGAUUCUGAAGUGAUAGCGCCUGCAAGGCAUGGGCACGAGUGUAGGGGAGGUUGGAGGCCAUGAUUAGCCCGUAAGGCUAGCUGGUGCCCUGGGGAAGAGCAAUGGUGGGCCACUAGGGUCCAUCUAGUGAGGACAAGGUGUAGAACAGACGAAGUUUGGAAGAGCUAGCUGGCAUCUAGAGGUACUGGGUUUCACUCUGGGACCCAUUAGGCAGCUUCCCUUCCAUUCAAACAGUUAUAUCAAGGUGUAGCAGGUGAAUAAGAAGUGGAGGGCACUCUAGAGCUAGAGUCAGGUAAGGGUUGUGUGACCACCAAGGGUCAUCACCGUCACCCUCGGAGCCCUAACCUAGUUACAAAAUGGAUUUCAUAUGUCGAAGUGCAAUUUGUUUCUUCAUUUAAGGAACACAAGGAAGAAUAGAAUACUACAUAAACUGUGCCCAUAACGAUCUCAACAAAUUGGAAUGCUGGGAGGGAGUCAACAGGAAAAAGCUGAAUGCCAAGAAAUUCAAAGCACUUUAACCAUGGGAAGAAUACUCAAAAAUACAACUACAGAAUUGGCGACACCUGACUUGGAUUCAUCAAUAGAAGUAUUAGGUGCAAAACAUGGAACACGUUAGUGCCUCUCCUCUCAGCCCUGGUUAGGUGUCAUCUAAAGUACUGUGUAUAGUUUUGGGCUGAAAAUUUCAAAAAGGAUGUGGAGCAGUUAGAUAGGGGCCAAAGGUCAGCACCAAAGAUGAUAAAGGACUUUUAAAGCAAGGCAUACAAGGAGAAGCUGAAAGAGCAAAGCACAUUCAGUGUGUGGAAAGGGCAUUUUAGCGGGGACAUGAUAACAGUCUCUAAGUUCUUGAAGAUCUCUUUUGCUGCAGAGCCUGGGACACAAUCCCAUGGCUUGAAGUUGCAGCAAAGUAGAUUUAGAUUGGAUAUCAGGAAAAACUUCAGUGCUAGUACAGUGACACAGUGGAAUAGAUUGCCUAGGGAAUUUUUAGAGUUUCCAUCACUGGGGUGUUCAGGAAGAGGUUGGAUAGCUACUGGUUGGGGAUGAUUUAAGCAUAGCCAUGCAGAUGCCUCACUAUGGAUAUUUCCUAUGCUUCUGGGUUCUGCUUAUUGCUGCAUGGGUUUGGGAUGGAAUUCUACCCCUACCACAACCACAUAUAGCCCUUACUUUUCUGCAACAUGUAUCAGUGUCUUUAGGACAUCUUCAGAAACACUGGGUGCCUCCCCAAGGGUGAGAAUUUUUACAGGGAGGGUUUCACUGCUCCUGCUGGGACAUAAUGUAGGAGCUUCCUUGCCCUUUCCUUUGGAGUCAGAGAAAUUCCCAAAUUGAAGAGGGGAGUGGUGUUACCCCAUGGUCAUAUUGGCCAGGGGGGCAGGGGAGGGAGUGUGGACUUAGCAUUGCCUUCUUCUGUACCCAAGGCGUGGCGAUUUACCUGGGGUAUCAUGAUUGUCUAUUCACAAUCUUUUACAAAAUUCGGAUGUAGACUGACAUGACUUCCCUGCUUUACAUGUGGCUAGAUAGGGUGUUUUGUCAUUUAUUGCAUCAAGUUUGACAGUAGUUUUACUAGAAGGUAAAAAGAAGGAUGUUUAUAAGAUUUGACAAGGAAUGCUGGUUAGAUGACAUGACCUCUGGAGGGGCAUUCCAACCCUAUUUUCCUUUGGUUUCUAACUGAGGUAGAUUGGAUUUUGACCUGAUCAAUAGGAUGCUUUCUGUAAAGGAGAAAAACCAAGUGGAAAGAAUGAAUACAUGUUGAGGAGCUACUUCCCAGCAGACAUAGGACAGUUCAUAAAGACCAAUAGAAGAGUAUCUCACUGAGGAAUAUGGCUAAACUUCCUUUGGACCUUGAUAAACUAUUUGUGGGAAACAAUGUCAAAAGUGCAGCAAGUAGAAAAAACAAGAUAGGACAAGAGAAAACAAGAAAAAAGAAAAGAAAAAAAACCCAGGAAUGUCAGCUAGAAAAAAACAAUUGUUUUCCACAAGACGGUAGUGGUUUGGGAUCCAUUCUGGGGAAACUGAUUGAAAUCUACACUUGACUGAAAAUGAAGAGGGCUGCUUGGGAUAAGAUGUACAUUAAAUGUUUUUGUUGGUAUUGUAGAAAUAAAACAGCAGAUCGGUUUCAGGAGAC